UAAUCGCCUUCACGACAUUA
rnacentral:siRNA from 1 species